GCCAGGCAUGGUGGCACGUGCCUGUAGUCUCAGCUACUCAGGAGGCUGAGGCUGGAGGAUCACUUGAGUCCAGGAGUUCCGGGUAGUGCAAUAGGGUGUCUGCACUAAGUCUGGCAUCAAUAUGGUGACCUCCCAGGAGUGGAGACUACCAGGUUGCCUAAGGAGUGGUGAACUGGCCCAGGUUGGAAAUGGAGCAGGUCAAAACUCCCAUGCUGAUCAGUAGUGGGAUUGCACCUGUGAAUAGCCACUGCACUCCAGCCUGGGCAACAUAGCAAGACCCCGCCUCUU
ensembl:misc_RNA Metazoa_SRP Metazoan signal recognition particle RNA